GAGGGGCGUCGCCGGGGCGGCCCCCCUGCACCCAGGCCUGAGGAGGCAGCUCCCAGAAGCCCAUGGAUUAGGAAGGUCUGCUGGGCUGCUUCAGGAGCCGCCUCGGAACAGCUCCCUUUUGUUUUGCUGUCUAGCAUGUGACCAGAAUGCUGCCAGCUAAUUUUAACCCUACCAAAGUGCGGCUGAAAAACAAAACAAAACGAAACGAGAAAACGAUAUUGCAUCUGGAGAGAGAAAUGCUGUGGGCUGGAUAAAAGCCUUCUCAGCCUGUGUUCCUUCCUGUUUCAGUUUCCAAACUUGCAUUUAUCGGUAACCUGAAAAAUGAUGAGUUUCACCAAAUUCCUGGAUAUUGCACAAGAAGACAAUGGGUCUAUUUCGGGUGCUGUGAGUGUGUCUGGCACAGACCCUGGGAGCCAUUGUUUUCAGGAGGGACAAUGCUUGGGGCUUUUCUGGAACUUUCCUCCUAGGGUCUCAAAGCCCCCAAACGUAGGGGCGUGGGUGGGGGGAAACAGGCACUCUCCAUGGCAACGGAAGCACGCUGCACUCUGAAAGGACCUGGCACCGGGAAUUGAUGGAGGACUUCAUGGAGUGCCUCACCCUGGAUACUUGGCUUCUCAAAGAAUUCCCAUGGCGGUUCAUUGUUGCUUGGUGGCCGAUGGUGCUGGUGAAAAGAUUUUUUUGCCAGCAUUCAGGUGUCGUUAGGACACAUUCCUCAUUUACCUUUCCAGCCAGGGCAUUCCUGAAUGUUUCAUAAUAGCGCCACAGCUGGAAUGCAGCUGCUUGAAGGUGGAGCAAAAAUAACUCCUUACAGGGGACACACGGACUCCAGAAGGCAUCUCCCCCACAGCAGGCGGGGAAGUGGCUUAACAGCCCAGGCUUUGGACUAUUAAUAGCAACGAAGACAAGCACAGCUAACAGUCAUUGGACACCUCUUCUGCAUCUGGCAUCGUGCUAUUUUAAUGCAGUCUCUCUUCUAAUCCAUACCUAACGAAGAGGGUUCAGUUUUUAUCCCCAUUUUAUAGAUGAAGAAAUGGAAGCUCAGAGAGGUUAAGUAACUUGUCCGAGGACAUACAGCUAGUAGGAAGUGGUGGCUGCAGUUGGAACUCAAGGUUGCCUUAAAGUCCUUAUCAGAUAGAUAUGGGUUCGAAUCCUAAGUCUGCUAUGUGUGACUACAUGACCUUUGCCAACCUCCAGGUUUCCUGAUCUGUUUUCCUAAAUUAAAUACACCACAUAUUGGCAAUUUCACACAAUUUAGCUUAAAUCUCCCUUACGAGAUGUUGUAAGAAUGAAAUAAGAUAAUGUUCGUAGAGUACUUAGCAGAGUGCCUAGAAUACAGUGAACACCCAGUAGAUGCUAGCUUUUAGUAAUAAUGUCAGCCCUGGCUGGUGUGGCUCAGUGGCCUGUGAAUCAAAGGGUCACUGAUUAAAUUCCCAGUCAGGGCACAUGCCUGGGUUGUGGGCCAGAUCCCCAGUAGGGGGCAUGCA